AGGACUCUCUUUUUAGAGGUCCGACCACUUCAUUUCCUUACACUGUGCACACACUUCUUUUCACACAUUUUAACACAUUAGUAUAAGAAUGUAACAGUCUCUUAAUUGAGCAUAAAUAAAAAUAAAACUUUCAGCAACGGAUCUCUUGGCUCUCGCAUCGAUGAAGAACGCAGCGAAUUGCGAUAAGUAAUGUGAAUUGCAGAAUUCAGUGAAUCAUCGAAUCUUUGAACGCACCUUGCACUCUUUGGUAUUCCGAAGAGUAUGUCUGUUUGAGUGUCAUGAAACUCUCAACCCCCCUAUUUUGUAAUGAAAUGGGCGUGGGCUUGGAUUAUGGUUGUUGUCGGCGUAAUUGCCGGCUCAACUGAAAUACACGAGCAACCCCUUUGAAAUAGACGGUUUGACUCGGCGUAAUAAUUAUUUCGCUGAGGACGUCUUCUUCAAAAGUAAGCGGUGCUUCUAAUGCGCUUUUAAAGCAUCUUAAGCUUUAGACCUCAAAUCAGUCAGGACUACCCGCUGAACUUAAGCAUAUCAAUAAGCGGAGGAAAAGAAACUAACAAGGAUUCCCCUAGUAACGGCGAGUGAAGUGGGAAAAGCUCAACUUUGAAAUCUGGCACCUUCGGUGUCCGAGUUGUAGUCUCAAGAAGUGUUUUCUGUGCCGGCCCGUGUAUGAGUCUGUUGGAACACAGCGUCAUAGAGGGUGACAACCCCGUUCAUGACACGGAUCCCGGUGCUUUGUGAUA
rnacentral:rRNA from 1 species